rnacentral:rRNA from 1 species
AGAGUUUGAUCCUGGCUCAGAUUGAACGCUGGCGGCAGGCUUAACACAUGCAAGUCGAACGGUAACAGGAAGAAAGCUUGCUUUCUUUGCUGACGAGUGGCGGACGGGUGAGUAAUGCUUGGGAAUCUGGCUUAUGGAGGGGGAUAACUACGGGAAACUGUAGCUAAUACCGCGUAAUAUCGAGAGAUUAAAGGGUGGGACCGCAAGGCCACCUGCCAUGAGAUGAGCCCAAGUGGGAUUAGGUAGUUGGUGAGGUAAAGGCUCACCAAGCCGACGAUCUCUAGCUGGUCUGAGAGGAUGACCAGCCACACUGGAACUGAGACACGGUCCAGACUCCUACGGGAGGCAGCAGAAGGGCGAAUU